rnacentral:rRNA from 1 species
CCUUCCCAAUAGUACGGAAUAACCCCGGGAAACCGGAGCUAAUACCGUAUACGCCCUUCGGGGGAAAGAUUUAUCGCUAUUGGAUGGGCCCGCGUCAGAUUAGCUUGUUGGUGGGGUAAUGGCCUACCAAGGCUACGAUCUGUAGCUGGUCUGAGAGGAUGAUCAGCCACACUGGGACUGAGACACGGCCCAGACUCCUACGGGAGGCAGCAGUAGGGAAUCUUGGACAAUGGGCGAAAGCCUGAUCCAGCCAUGCCGCGUGAGUGAAGAAGGCCUUAGGGUUGUAAAGCUCUUUUGGCGGGGAAGAUAAUGACGGUACCCGCAGAAUAAGCCCCGGCUAACUUCGUGCCAGCAGCCGCGGUAAUACGAAGGGGGCUAGCGUUGUUCGGAAUUACUGGGCGUAAAGCGCACGCAGGCGGAUUGAUGAGUCAGGGGUGAAAUCCCGGGGCUUAACCUCGGAACUGCCUUUGAUACUGUCAAUCUUGAGUCCGGGAGAGGUGAGUGGAAUUCCUAGUGUAGAGGUGAAAUUCGUAGAUAUUAGGAAGAACACCAGUGGCGAAGGCGGCUCACUGGCCCGGAACUGACGCUCAGGUGCGAAAGCGUGGGGAGCAAACAGGAUUAGAUACCCUG